rnacentral:lncRNA from 1 species
ACCAAGGCCUUGCGCGGCCCAACGCACAAGGGGGGACGGCGCGCCCUGCUGCGGGCCCUCGCCCUGGCCCCGGUGCCACCAGUUUCCCUUGGCCGGGAUUCUUUGUGGCCUAGGCAGGCAGGCGCCCGUGCUGUCUCCACUCUGACCUAGGCACCCACCCACAUGAGGCGUCGGGAGGUGUGGGGCCGGGAGAACAUUGCUCUGCCUGGUUUCCUAGGCGGAGGCAGGUGUGUUGUCGGCAGAGACCCUCACUCAGGCCAAGUGCGUGAUGUCUCUUCUUCUUCCGCAGACGCCGAGCCCGGCACCCGGGAACCUGUUCCGGACGUGCCGCUCCCAACCAUGACUCCCAGCACCGAGGAGGCUGACCACGACCACGACCCCGACGCCGAGCCCGGCACCCGGGAACUUGUUCCGGACGUGCAGCACCGAGGAGGCUGACCACGACCACGACCCCGAGCACGACCACGACCACGACCACGACCACGACCACGACCACGACCACGGUAGGGGCCCGUGUGCCUUGUGUCCUCUGCCCCUGGGAGCCCGCUGGGCUGCCGGGGCUCCUUGAGCGAGAACGGGCUUUCCUAUUGCCUCCGGGACCGGGAAGGUGUCGCCAUGCGAUUCCUUGUCCCGAAACGCUGGCCUGUGCUCUGGAGCUGCGGGGACGUCCUCGGGGCUCUGCCCGGGAAGGAUGUGCUCCCUGGGGAGAGAGGGGCCGCGGUGCGAGUCAGGCGCUCCGAGACGGGGCCGUGUGUCCUCCCGGGUGCUCUGGUUGGCUGCACGCUGCCUGGGCCUGUCCGCAGGUUGUCCGUUUCUCUGCGUGGUGGUCUGCUGACCCGUGCGGGAGGGGCGUAGGCUUCCCCGCCCCCCACGUCUGCUCCCGCCAUGACCCACCCCGGGGGUCUGGUGCAGCACUCCCAGCCCGCAUGCCUGGCGUGGCCACGGAGGCUGCGAGUGCAGAAGCCUCAUGGGACCCGGCGUGGAGUGCCCCACUGCCCCUGGUGGCCCAGUGUGCGCAGCGGACUUAGGCGCGGGCACGCUGGGCUCCGCGAGGGUGGUGCUCUGUGCCUCUGCCUCUCCUGAGACGUCCUUGCCUUCCUCUUGGCGUUGGCUGGUCUCCGAGCUCCCGGGACAGCGUCCAGGAGGCGUGGCCGCUGCCUGAGGACCAGUCCUCGAUGUGCCCUCUGACGCUGGCACGAGCGUGUUCUGGACCCGUGCCGUGCCCCCAGGCAGCUGGGGAGUUGUCUGCCUUGUAGUGCGGCGGGCCACCAGGAGAAUCUGACC